AUAUCCUUGAAUCGAAGGUCCGUUUGAACCAGAUCCGACCCGAUCCACGAUUCGGCUUGUUCUGAUCUGUGAUCUGUGUGCUCUGUGAUCUGUUUCUGUUACUCUGUUACUGUUCUCUGUUACUACUGUUACUCUAUUAUUACUAUGCCUAAAUCGGUACGUUCAUCUUCAUCUUUUUAUUAAGACGAAGGGCCCGAUCGGAUUUAUUAUUAUUUUUAUUGUUAUUAAGCUUGCAGAUCUGAGAUGAAUUUGCUAAACUAUUUUUUUUUUAUCGUUAAUUCAGAUAAUUAACGAUCGCGAGACUGGAAGAUCCAGAGGAUUUGGAUUCGUUACCUUCCGCGAUGAGAAGUCGAUGAGGGACGCGAUCGAAGGCAUGAACGGCCAGAAUCUCGACGGCCGUAACAUCACAGUCAACGAGGCCCAGUCCCGCGGAAGCGGUGGCGGUGGCGGUGGUGGUUACGGAAGCCGCGGCGGUGGCGGAUAUGGAGGUGGUGGACGCCGUGAAAGUGGUGGUGGUGGUGGAUACGGUGGGAGCCGCGGAUACGGAGGUGGCGGUGGUGGAGGAUAUGGUGGCCGCCGUGAAGGUGGUUACAGCCGUGAUGGUGGAUAUGGCGGUGAUGGUGGUUCCCGAUACUCAAGGAGCGGUGCUUCUGAUGGCGGCAGCUGGAGGAAUUAGUGUUGUUUAGGAUAAAUUAGGAGCUAUGUUAUGGUUUCGUGUUUUGAUAUUUUCCUUGGGUUAUGUUGUGUCGUUUUGAUCGGUUCCUGUUAUCCUGUGUUGUUUCGAUCUCCCUGUUUGGUUAAUUGUUUGAAAAAAAAAUGAAAUGAAUUACAG
rnacentral:lncRNA from 1 species